CCUACGGGUGACAGCAGUGAGGAAUAUUGGUCAAUGGCCGGAAGGCUGAACCAGCCAUGCCGCGUGAAGGUCAGUGCCCUAUGGGCGUUAAACUUCUUUUGUGCGGGAGCAAUAAUGGUCACGUGUGGCCAGACGAGAGUACCGUACGAAUAAGCAUCGGCUAACUCCGUGCCAGCAGCCGCGGUAAUACGGGGGAUGCAAGCGUUAUCCGGAUUUAUUGGGUUUAAAGGGUGCGUACGCUGUGAGGUAAGUCAGCGGGGAAAUGCCCCCGCUCAACGGGGUGAAGUGCCAUUGAUACUGCCUUGCUGGAAUGCGGAUGCCGUGGGAGGAAUGUGUGGUGUAGCGGUGAAAUGCAUAGAUAUCACACAGAACACCGAUUGCGAAGGCAUCUCACGAAUCCGCGAUUGACGCUGAUGCACGAAAGCGUGGGUAUCAAACAGGAUUAGAUACCCUAGUAGUC
rnacentral:rRNA from 1 species